AACGCUGGCGGCGUGCCUAAUACAUGCAAGUCGAACGAACUCUGGUAUUGAUUGGUGCUUGCAUCAUGAUUUACAUUUGAGUGAGUGGCGAACUGGUGAGUAACACGUGGGAAACCUGCCCAGAAGCGGGGGAUAACACCUGGAAACAGAUGCUAAUACCGCAUAACAACUUGGACCGCAUGGUCCGAGUUUGAAAGAUGGCUUCGGCUAUCACUUUUGGAUGGUCCCGCGGCGUAUUAGCUAGAUGGUGGGGUAACGGCUCACCAUGGCAAUGAUACGUAGCCGACCUGAGAGGGUAAUCGGCCACAUUGGGACUGAGACACGGCCCAAACUCCUACGGGAGGCAGCAGUAGGGAAUCUUCCACAAUGGACGAAAGUCUGAUGGAGCAACGCCGCGUGAGUGAAGAAGGGUUUCGGCUCGUAAAACUCUGUUGUUAAAGAAGAACAUAUCUGAGAGUAACUGUUCAGGUAUUGACGGUAUUUAACCAGAAAGCCACGGCUAACUACGUGCCAGCAGCCGCGGUAAUACGUAGGUGGCAAGCGUUGUCCGGAUUUAUUGGGCGUAAAGCGAGCGCAGGCGGUUUUUUAAGUCUGAUGUGAAAGCCUUCGGCUCAACCGAAGAAGUGCAUCGGAAACUGGGAAACUUGAGUGCAGAAGAGGACAGUGGAACUCCAUGUGUAGCGGUGAAAUGCGUAGAUAUAUGGAAGAACACCAGUGGCGAAGGCGGCUGUCUGGUCUGUAACUGACGCUGAGGCUCGAAAGUAUGGGUAGCAAACAGGAUUAGAUACCCUGGUAGUCCAUACCGUAAACGAUGAAUGCUAAGUGUUGGAGGGUUUCCGCCCUUCAGUGCUGCAGCUAACGCAUUAAGCAUUCCGCCUGGGGAGUACGGCCGCAAGGCUGAAACUCAAAGGAAUUGACGGGGGCCCGCACAAGCGGUGGAGCAUGUGGUUUAAUUCGAAGCUACGCGAAGAACCUUACCAGGUCUUGACAUACUAUGCAAAUCUAAGAGAUUAGACGUUCCCUUCGGGGACAUGGAUACAGGUGGUGCAUGGUUGUCGUCAGCUCGUGUCGUGAGAUGUUGGGUUAAGUCCCGCAACGAGCGCAACCCUUAUUAUCAGUUGCCAGCAUUAAGUUGGGCACUCUGGUGAGACUGCCGGUGACAAACCGGAGGAAGGUGGGGAUGACGUCAAAUCAUCAUGCCCCUUAUGACCUGGGCUACACACGUGCUACAAUGGAUGGUACAACGAGUUGCGAACUCGCGAGAGUAAGCUAAUCUCUUAAAGCCAUUCUCAGUUCGGAUUGUAGGCUGCAACUCGCCUACAUGAAGUCGGAAUCGCUAGUAAUCGCGGAUCAGCAUGCCGCGGUGAAUACGUUCCCGGGCCUUGUACACACCGCCCGUCACACCAUGAGAGUUUGUAACACCCAAAGUCGGUGGGGUAACCUUUUAGGAACCAGCCGCCUAAGGUGGGACAGAUGAUUAG
rnacentral:rRNA from 2 species